UACGGAGGGUGCAAGCGUUAUCCGGAUUCACUGGGUUUAAAGGGUGCGUAGGUGGGCAGGUAAGUCAGUGGUGAAAUCUCUGGGCUUAACUCAAAAACUGCCAUUGAUACUAUCUGUCUUGAAUACCGUGGAGGUCAGCGGAAUAUGUCAUGUAGCGGUGAAAUGCUUAGAUAUGACAUAGAACACCAAUUGCGAAGGCAGCUGGCUACACGAAUAUUGACACUGAUGCACGAAAGCGUGGGGAUCAAACAGG
rnacentral:rRNA from 1 species